GUUUUUUAUAAAAUGCGAAUACAUUUUCUUUUUAUCUAUUUUUUUUAAAAAAAAAAAAAAAAAAAAAAAAGAGAGAGGUAAAAAUUCACACAAAAGCAAAAAAUCCCUCAAAACCCCCUUUUUCGAAUUUUCUCGGGAUAAAUGAUUAGAGUAAAAAAGUUUCAUUAAGAUGAGUAUAAAAACAUAUAUAAAUUUAAAGAAAAUCGUUGGAGCCAUUUUUGAGAAAAAUAAAAAAUCCCACUUUUAAAAAAAGUCCCACAUGAAAUUUCCCAUAAGUACCAAUUUUCGUCUUUUAUGGUAAAAAAGAUGGGAACAAAAAAUGUUUUCCGUAAUAUAUUUAACACUUUGUUAAAAUUCCAAAUAAAUCAAUUAAGCCUUUUUGGAGAAAAAUAAAAAAUCCCACGAAGGCAAAAAAUCCCCCAAAACCCCCCAUUUUUGAAUUUUCUCGGGAUAAAUGAAUAUAAUAAAAAAGUUUCAUUUUAAUGAGUAGAAAAACAUAUUAAAAUUUUAAGAAAAUCGUUGGAGCCAUUUUUGAGAAAAGUAAAAAAUCCCACAUAAUUUUCAAAAAAUCCCUUAAUAAAUCCCACCAAAACUUUGAGGGAUUUUCUUGGAUUUCUUAUGGUCGCAUCCCCUGACCAUGAUAAUAAUACCCUCCAAAUUUCAAUACUCUACGAUAAACCGUUCUUGAGAUUUUUUGUUCACAUACACACCCACACACACACACAUACAUACAUACAUACAUACAUACAUACAGACGAGGGUCUAAAAAAUUUUUUCCUGCAUCUAGGGGUCAUAAUUCGUCCAGAAAUGCAAAAAACUCAACUUCGAUUUUUUUUUGGAAAACAAGACUUUCUAUUAUAAAUACAUCUUAUAAUAGGGUUCCCCUAUAUAAGGUGUAUAGGGAUAGAAAGUAAAAAAAGGAAA
rnacentral:lncRNA from 1 species